rnacentral:rRNA from 1 species
AUUGAACGCUGGCGGCAGGCCUAACACAUGCAAGUCGAGCGGAUGAAGGGAGCUUGCUCCUGGAUUCAGCGGCGGACGGGUGAGUAAUGCCUAGGAAUCUGCCUGGUAGUGGGGGAUAACGUCCGGAAACGGGCGCUAAUACCGCAUACGUCCUGAGGGAGAAAGUGGGGGAUCUUCGGACCUCACGCUAUCAGAUGAGCCUAGGUCGGAUUAGCUAGUUGGUGGGGUAAAGGCCUACCAAGGCGACGAUCCGUAACUGGUCUGAGAGGAUGAUCUGUCACACUGGAACUGAGACACGGUCCAGACUCCUACGGGAGGCAGCAGUGGGGAAUAUUGGACAAAGGGCGAAAGCCUGAUCCAGCCGUGCCGCGUGUGUGAAGAAGGUCUUCGGAUUGUAAAGCACUUUAAGUUGGGAGGAAGGGCAGUAAGUUAAUACCUUGCUGUUUUGACGUUACCAACAGAAUAAGCACCGGCUAACUUCGUG